CCUACGGGCGGCAGCAGUGAGGAAUAUUGGUCAAUGGACGAGAGUCUGAACCAGCCAAGUAGCGUGAAGGAUGACUGCCCUAUGGGUUGUAAACUUGUUUUAUAUGGGAAUAAAAUGUUCCACGUGUGGGAUUUUGUAUGUACCAUAUGAAUAAGGAUCGGCUAACUCCGUGCCAGCAGCCGCGGUAAUACGGAGGAUCCGAGCGUUAUCCGGAUUUAUUGGGUUUAAAGGGAGCGUAGGUGGAUUGUUAAGUCAGUUGUGAAAGUUUGCGGCUCAACCGUAAAAUUGCAGUUGAAACUGGCAGUCUUGAGUACAGUAGAGGUGGGCGGAAUUCGUGGUGUAGCGGUGAAAUGCUUAGAUAUCACGAAGAACUCCGAUUGCGAAGGCAGUUCACUGGACUGCAACUGACACUGAGGCUCGAAAGUGUGGGUAUCAAACAGGAUUAGAUACCCGAGUAGUC
rnacentral:rRNA from 1 species